ensembl:lncRNA
UGCUGGUUAAGGAAACAUGGCUGCCAAGAGAGAAGACUUAACCACCCUUUUCUGAAAGUGGGUGGAUAAUCAAUUUGUUUCUGAUUAGAAAAACAACACUUCUCCCAUGUGAGUAUUCUAGAAAUUCUGAGUAUUUCCAAAAGAUUUCAGUCCAGUUCCAUGAUUCAGUUUUUGCCAUAAGCAAUGUCUUAGAAAACUAUGCAGACAUCACACCCCCAUACUGGCUAUCUCUGAUUUUCAUGCUUCAGGGUUUUAAACUGAAAUGCCUUAAAUAUCUGGAGUUGAAGUUUUGCGUUUUUUUCAGACCAGCUAGGUAACAUAAUCAUGUUAAAGAGAGGCAGAGCAUUGCUGAUUCAAAUGUUGAGUAUUAAAUUUAGCAUGAGUCAUCCCAUUCCGUUUAUUAACCUGACUUCCUUCUUAGUCACCCAGCAUAUCUGUUCUCUCUCAUCUCAUCAGGGAGCAGACCUUUCCAUCACCCUUGCCUGGACUCUGGAACAGUGCAGACAGUCCACAGCAUAAUUCACCUUCACAAACAACUGCAAAGCUUCAGUAAUGCUGUGACUCAACAAAAAAGUGAUGCUUUUUACUCACUUUUACCCAGAGUGCCAAGGCCUUCAAGUAUAUAGAGUGGUUGCUAUGUAAAUGAACUGAAUUAUUCAUUGUUCAAGCUGUUGAUGGGCAUCUAGCAAACGCUGUCUGAAUUAAAAGCUAUUUAUUCAAUGGGGCUGUCACAAUUUUGUUGGUAGAAAUAGGAUACACUACACUUGGGAAAAUGUGAAGUGGGCUGGCUUUCACUGGCACUCUGCUGAACUCCAGAAGAAUGCUGUAUUAUCUGCAGAGGCCUCUCUCAGAAGCACUGCAUAUAGCUGUCUGCAUCUCCCACGUUUUUACCUCAUUGGCAUAAAACAAGCAACCAAAGCAAGGGGAAAAAGUCCCAUUGUCAUUAUAUCUGCAAGUUUCCAAACUAAAAUCUGCAUAUGCAGCUCACUCAUUGGGGUUUCUUCCCAGCUUAUUACUAAUAUAGCCAGCCACAUAAGUUUUGCCAGCCCUUGGAAAUUAUUUUCUUAGGGCCUGCAGAAAUCAAUACUACCAGACUUGAAGUCAUGAUACACAUUCAGAAAGAGCUGACAAAGCAAGAAAACCAAUGACUGACAGAAUUAUAGGAAAUUCCGCUAACAGAUAAAGAUUCAUAGGAUGUUCUCCAUUUUAUGCCAAUUUGCCAGGUGUUCAAAUGUGUAUACUGAAGGAAUCACGUUGUUAGAGGAGUAAGUAGACUAGCCACCUAACCACCCUUUCUAGAAAUACAUCUAAUGUUCUUUGAAAAGAACAAAGUAAGAAGGAAGUGUUUCAGUGGAAUUCUCAUGUUUAUUUAUUCACCUAUUAAAAUUUCUUUUUUCAUGAUGGGAGGAUUUUUUGGUGGGGUAUGCCCCUCAAGGGAAAGUCCCAGUGUAGUGUUUGCAUGUGUGACAAGCCAAGCCAAUGUAUAGCUGUGCCUCUCAGUAUCAUCGCUAAAUUAGCUGUGUAAUCAGAGCUCAUUUCUUUUAAAAAACCCCAGCAUUGCCUAGUGGCGGGGAGAUCUAAUUAUUUCCUAUUAAAAAGGAAUUUUAGAAAAAAAAAAAA